rnacentral:rRNA from 1 species
GUGGGGAAUAUUGGACAAUGGGCGCAAGCCUGAUCCAGCCAUGCCGCGUGAGUGAUGAAGGCCUUAGGGUUGUAAAGCUCUUUUGUCCGGGAAGAUAAUGACUGUACCGGAAGAAUAAGCCCCGGCUAACUUCGUGCCAGCAGCCGCGGUAAUACGAAGGGGGCUAGCGUUGCUCGGAAUCACUGGGCGUAAAGGGCGCGUAGGCGGACUUUUAAGUCGGGGGUGAAAGCCCAGGGCUCAACCCUGGAAUUGCCUUCGAUACUGGGAGUCUUGAGUUCGGAAGAGGUUGGUGGAACUGCGAGUGUAGAGGUGAAAUUCGUAGAUAUUCGCAAGAACACCGGUGGCGAAGGCGGCCAACUGGUCCGAAACUGACGCUGAGGCGCGAAAGCGUGGGGAGCAAACAGG